rnacentral:rRNA from 1 species
CUUCUUUGCUGACGAGCGGCGGACGGGUGAGUAAUGCUUGGGAACAUGCCUUGAGGUGGGGGACAACAGUUGGAAACGACUGCUAAUACCGCAUAAUGUCUACGGACCAAAGGGGGCUUCGGCUCUCGCCUUUAGAUUGGCCCAAGUGGGAUUAGCUAGUUGGUGAGGUAAUGGCUCACCAAGGCGACGAUCCCUAGCUGGUUUGAGAGGAUGAUCAGCCACACUGGGACUGAGACACGGCCCAGACUCCUACGGGAGGCAGCAGUGGGGAAUAUUGCACAAUGGGCGCAAGCCUGAUGCAGCCAUGCCGCGUGUGUGAAGAAGGCCUUCGGGUUGUAAAGCACUUUCAGUCAGGAGGAAAGGUUAACGGUUAAUACCCGCUAGCUGUGACGUUACUGACAGAAGAAGCACCGGCUAACUCCGUGCCAGCAGCCGCGGUAAUACGGAGGGUGCGAGCGUUAAUCGGAAUUACUGGGCGUAAAGCGUACGCAGGCGGUUUGUUAAGCGAGAUGUGAAAGCCCCGGGCUCAACCUGGGAACUGCAUUUCGAACUGGCAAACUAGAGUGUGAUAGAGGGUGGUAGAAUUUCAGGUGUAGCGG